UCUGGUGUGAAAACUUGAGGCUCAACCUCGAGAGGCCACUCGAUACUGCUGGACUAGAGUCCGGUAGAGGAGUGUGGAAUUCCUGGGGUAGCGGUGAAAUGCGCAAAUAUCAGGAGGAACACCGACGGCGAAGGCAGCACUCUGGGCCGGUACUGACCCUGAGGAGCGAAAGCAUGGGGAGCAAACAGGAUUAAAUACCCUGGUAUUCCAUGCCGUAAACGUUGGGCACUAGGUGUGGGGUCUCUCUAACAGAUUCCGUGCCGCAGCUAACGCAUUAAGUGCCCCCCCUGGGGAGUACGGCCGCAAGGCUAAAACUCAAAUGAAUUGACGG
rnacentral:rRNA from 1 species